rnacentral:rRNA from 1 species
AACGAACGCUGGCGGCAUGCCUAACACAUGCAAGUCGAACGAGACCUUCGGGUCUAGUGGCGCACGGGUGCGUAACGCGUGGGAACCUGCACUUAGGUUCGGAAUAACUCCCCGAAAGGGGUGCUAAUACCGGAUAAUGUCUUCGGACCAAAGAUUUAUCGCCUUUGGAUGGGCCCGCGUUGGAUUAGCUAGUUGGUAGGGUAAAAGCCUACCAAGGCGACGAUCCAUAGCUGGUCUGAGAGGAUGAUCAGCCACACUGGGACUGAGACACGGCCCAGACUCCUACGGGAGGCAGCAGUGGGGAAUAUUGGACAAUGGGCGAAAGCCUGAUCCAGCAAUGCCGCGUGAGUGAUGAAGUCCUUAGGGUUGUAAAGCUCUUUUACCCGGGAUGAUAAUGACAGUACCGGGAGAAUAAGCUCCGGCUAACUCCGUG